GUGACUCAUUGGAAAAGACUCUGAUGCUGGGAGGGAUUGUGGGCAGGAGGAGAAGGGGACGACAGAGGAUGAGAUGGCUGGAUGGCAUCACCAACUCAAUGGACGUGAGUUUGAGUGAACUCUGGGAGAUGGUGAUGGACAGGGAGGCCCGGCAUGCUGUGAUUCAUGGGGUCACAAAGAGUCGGACAGGACUGAGCGACUGAACUGAACUGAAUAUUCUAUUAUGCUGUGGAAAGAUGCUGGAUCAGUCAGAUGCUGGAGACAGGAUGGACAUGAUUUCCAGUCCUCGCAUCCAAAGAAUGUGAAGAAACCGAGGCUCAGAGAGGUCACCAAACUCGUGCAACUUGCACAGCUGAUAUGUAGAUGACAUGGCAUUUGAUUACCAAGUCAUCUGACUCCAAGUCUGCUGCUCAUGAUGCUGCAUCUCAUUGCCUCCAAGGUGCUGUACUCGGAGGGAGGAGUCUCCAUAAGCUAAAACUAAGCAAGACUGAUGAAAUGGAGUCAAUUUUAUUCCACCUCUCUAGCUGAGGACAGAACAGGUGAAGCCAAGUGGAUGGGGUUUCCUUCACAGUCUGCCUUGGAGAUGCUGUUAAUGUACUUCAAAAUCAUUUCCUUUGUUCUUUGGGGAAUACACUAAGACAUUAACAGUGCUAGACCUGGGUGGUAUAAUUAUGGGAGAAUCUUUUCUUCCAUUUUUAAAAAAAUCGUUUUUAUUCUGUAGCUUUUCCAAAUGAGCAUGGAUCAUUUGUGUUAUAAAAAAAUUAAAAAUAAAAAUGAGAUUUCCUUUGCUCCACUACAGCUGCUCUCCAGUUCACAUUUGCCCUGGAAGACAAGGACACAGGUGGUGUCCUGGAGGCCUGUGGCAGCCAUGGUAUGAUGACAAGAUCAUUGGAUUAGGAACUACAACACACAAGUUCAGUUCCCAGGCUUCCAGAACUUUUUAACUUUGGUAUACUGGGCAAGUCCCUUUACUUCUGUGAGCCUUCAUUUUCUCAUCUGUAGCAUGGAGCAGUAAUAGCUCUCAAAAGAUGAAAUUUUUGCAUGAACGUCAAGUGGGAUUAUCAUUAUAACUAUUACACAACUGAAAAUUGCCUAUUUCAUGUUUGUGUAGAAAGAAGAAACAAACAGUGGUUCUGUGAAUAGUGGCUUAGUCAGUUUCAGCUGGUAUCUGAAAGUGGUAGAUGGCCUCUAGUGAUUCUCACUUCCUGGCAUUUAUGCCCUUGGAUAUUCCUCCACUGAGCUGUGCUGACCU
ensembl:lncRNA